CCUCUGAUGCUAAGUGAUUAAGGCACUGGACUUGAAAUCCAAUGAAGUUUCCCCACGCAGCUUUAAAUCCUGCUCACAGCA
rfam:Chelonia mydas contig248596, whole genome shotgun sequence.